rnacentral:misc_RNA from 1 species
GAUGAAGAACGCAGCGAAAUGCGAUAAGUAAUGUGAAUUGCAGAAUUCAGUGAAUCAUCGAAUCUUUGAACGCACAUUGCGCCCUUUGGUAUUCCGAAGGGCAUGCCUGUUCGAGCGUCAUUAUAACCACUCAAGCUCUCGCUUGGUAUUGGGGUUCGCGGUCUCGCGGCCCCUAAAAUCAGUGGCGGUGCCUGUCGGCUCUACGCGUAGUAAUACUCCUCGCGAUUGAGUCCGGUGGGUGACUUGCCAGCAACCCCCAAAUUUUUCAGGUUGACCUCGGAUCAGGUAGGGAUACCCGCUGAACUUAAGCAUAUCAAUAAGCGGAGGA